AAUACCGGAUGGUUGUUUGAACCGCAUGGUUCAAACAUAAAAGGUGGCUUCGGCUACCACUUACAGAUGGACCCGCGGCGCAUUAGCUAGUUGGUGAGGUAACGGCUCACCAAGGCGACGAUGCGUAGCCGACCUGAGAGGGUGAUCGGCCACACUGGGACUGAGACACGGCCCAGACUCCUACGGGAGGCAGCAGUAGGGAAUCUUCCGCAAUGGACGAAAGUCUGACGGAGCAACGCCGCGUGAGUGAUGAAGGUUUUCGGAUCGUAAAGCUCUGUUGUUAGGGAAGAACAAGUGCCGUUCGAAUAGGGCGGUACCUUGACGGUACCUAACCAGAAAGCCACGGCUAACUACGUGCCAGCAGCCGCGGUAAUACGUAGGUGGCAAGCGUUGUCCGGAAUUAUUGGGCGUAAAGGGCUCGCAGGCGGUUUCUUAAGUCUGAUGUGAAAGCCCCCGGCUCAACCGGGGAGGGUCAUUGGAAACUGGGGAACUUGAGUGCAGAAGAGGAGAGUGGAAUUCCACGUGUAGCGGUGAAAUGCGUAGAGAUGUGGAGGAACACCAGUGGCGAAGGCGACUCUCUGGUCUGCAACUGACGCUGAGGAGCGAAAGCGUGGGGAGCGAACAGGAUUAGAUACCCUGGUAGUCCACGCCGUAAACGAUGAGUGCUAAGUGUUAGGGGGUUUCCGCCCCUUAGUGCUGCAGCUAACGCAUUAAGCACUCCGCCUGGGGAGUACGGUCGCAAGACUGAAACUCAAAGGAAUUGACGGGGGCCCGCACAAGCGGUGGGGCAUGUGGUUUAAUUCGAAGCAACGCGAAGAACCUUACCAGGUCUUGACAUCCUCUGACAAUCCUAGAGAUAGGACGUCCCCUUCGGGGGCAGAGUGACAGGUGGUGCAUGGUUGUCGUCAGCUCGUGUCGUGAGAUGUUGGGUUAAGUCCCGCAACGAGCGCAACCCUUGAUCUUAGUUGCCAGCAUUCAGUUGGGCACUCUAAGGUGACUGCCGGUGACAAACCGGAGGAAGGUGGGGAUGACGUCAAAUCAUCAUGCCCCUUAUGACCUGGGCUACACACGUGCUACAAUGGACAGAACAAAGGGCAGCGAAACCGCGAGGUUAAGCCAAUCCCACAAAUCUGUUCUCAGUUCGGAUCGCAGUCUGCAACUCGACUGCGUGAAGCUGGAAUCGCUAGUAAUCGCGGAUCAGCAUGCCGCGGUGAAUACGUUCCCGGGCCUUGUACACACCGCCCGUCACACCACGAGAGUUUGUAACACCCGAAGUCGGUGAGGUAACCUUUUAGGAGCCAGCCGCCGAAGGUGGGACAGAUGAUUGGGGUGAAGUCGUAACAAGGUAGCCGUAUCGGAAGGUGCGGCUG
rnacentral:rRNA from 1 species